UACGUAGGUGGCAAGCGAUACUCGGAAUCACUAGGCGUAAAGCGCAGGUAGGAGGUUUAGCAAGUCUCUUGUGAAAGCUCCCGGCUUAACUGGGAGAGGUCAAGGGAAACUACUAGGCUAGAGUGCGGUAGAGGUAGCUGGAAUUCCCGGUGUAGCGGUGAAAUGCGUAGAUAUCGGGAGGAAUACCUAUGGCGAAAGCAGGCUACUGGACCGUCACUGACUCUGAUCUGCGAAAGCUAGGGGAGCAAACAGG
rnacentral:rRNA from 1 species